ACCCUAGCUGACCAGUUGGCAGUUCAGACGAGCUGCACUCUUUCCAUGAGGGAUUAGAAUCUAACAAAGGAAAAGUUCUGAACAAGUCAAACGUCAAAGGGAAGAUCUUCCAGAGGUUAACAGAAAAGUAGCAAUAACAAACGGUAAUCCAGAAAGGAUUGGAGGUGGGUUUGGUUGGAGGCAGCAGGGAUGUGCAGUGCGGCUGGUGCAGGUAGAGCGGAGCUGGAGUGCAGCGUCCUGGAAGAGGACUGGCAGAGAGGACAGAGAUACAUGGCUCACUGGCACAGCUUCACCAUCGUGCCACAGCAUCAGCAGAGGCCAAUUGUGAUGGAGGCAGAACGCUCAGAAAAACACGGGGAGGCCAAGAGGCUCCUCCAGCGGUUCCUUUCUGGUGCCAUGGGGCCGAAGUUGCAACAAGCUCAUGUCAUGUGCAAGCAAAGGAGCAAAGAGCUCUGCUUGAGAGGCAAAUGAGAGGAAGACUGUUGGAAAGAUGAAAACAUGUUCAAUAUUUUAACAAAGUAUUAUAGUAUACUACUGUAUUAUUGUUUUCAGUUUGAAUAAUUACUAUGUAUGCAAUACAAGAUUCUUGUUGUAGUAUAAUUUGUUUUGUUGGCUGAAUUAUGUCAUUUAAAAAUAAUCAAAAUGUUUAUGUAAUAUGUUACAUUUUUUAGUGAUGUGAAAGGAAAUUCGUUUUUACUGUUACACAGAGAUUUCACUUUAUAAGGACAGUAGAAUUUCCUUAUAUUUAUGUCAAGAUUAGCAUAAGCAUAGAUUUUGUUAUAGCAAUGUGUACAGUUGAAGAAAUUACGAGAUUAAAAAUAAAUCUUCCAUGUAUUUAAUAUGGA